CAUGCCGUAAACGAUGAGUGCUAAGUGUUAGGGGGUUUCCGCCCCUUAGUGCUGCAGCUAACGCAUUAAGCACUCCGCCUGGGGAGUACGACCGCAAGGUUGAAACUCAAAGGAAUUGACGGGGGCCCGCACAAGCGGAGGAACAUGUGGUUUAAUUCGAUGAUACGCGAGGAACCUUACCCGGGCUCAAACGACAGGGGAACCGUCGGGAAACCGGCGGGCCGGCAACGGCCGCUGUCGAGGUGC
rnacentral:rRNA from 1 species